AGUGAACGCUGGCGGCAGGCCUAACACAUGCAAGUCGAACGGCAGCACGGCAGUAGCAAUACUGUGGGUGGCGAGUGGCGGACGGGUGAGGAAUACAUCGGGAUCUACCCUGUUGUGGGGGAUAACGUAGGGAAACUUACGCUAAUACCGCAUAAGAACUGAGGUUGAAAGCGGCGGACUCGCAAGAGCCUCGCGCUAUUGGAGCGGCCGAUGUCAGAUUAGGUAGUUGGUGGGGUAAAAGCCUACCAAGCCGACGAUCUGUAGCUGGUCUGAGAGGACGACCAGCCACACUGGGACUGAGACACGGCCCAGACUCCUACGGGAGGCAGCAGUGGGGAAUUUUGGACAAUGGGCGCAAGCCUGAUCCAGCCAUGCCGCGUGCGGGAAGAAGGCCUUC
rnacentral:rRNA from 1 species